GACGAACGCUGGCGGCGUGCUUAACACAUGCAAGUCGAACGAGGCCCUCCUUCGGGAGGUGUCCUAGUGGCGAACGGGUGAGUAACACGUGGGCAACCUGCCCUCAGCUCUGGGAUAACCCCAAGAAAUUGGGGCUAAUACCGGAUACGACCGCUGACCGCAUGGUCGGUGGUGGAAAGUUUUUCGGCUGAGGAUGGGCCCGCGGCCUAUCAGCUUGUUGGUGGGGUAGUGGCCCACCAAGGCGACGACGGGUAGCCGGCCUGAGAGGGUGACCGGCCACAAUGGGACUGAGAGACGGCCCAGACGCCUACGGGAGGCAGCGGUGGGGAAUAUUGCGCAGUGGGCGAAAGCCUGACGCAGCGACGCCGCGUGAGGGAGGACGGCCUUCGGGUUGUAAACCUCUUUCAGUAGGGACGAAGCGCAAGUGACGGUACCUGCAGAAGAAGCACCGGCCAACUACGUGCCAGCCGCCGCCGUAACAC
rnacentral:rRNA from 1 species